CAAACGGGUGCGGAACACGUACGCAACCUACCCAUAACUGAGGAAUAGCCCGGGGAAACCCGGAUUAAUACUUCGUAACAUAAUGAGAUGGCAUCAUUUUAUUAUUAUAGCUCCGGCGGUUAUGGAUGGGCGUGCGCCUGAUUAGGUAGUUGGCGGAGUAAUAGCCCACCAAGCCUACGAUCAGUAACUGGUGUGAGAGCACGACCAGUCACACGGGCACUGAGACACGGGCCCG
rnacentral:rRNA from 1 species